rnacentral:Y_RNA from 1 species
GGCUGGUCUGAUGGCAGUGGGUUAUCAGAACUUAAUAACAUUAGUGUCACUAAAGUUGGAAUACCACCCCCCACUGCUAAAUUUGAUUGGCUUAAA